AACGCUAGCUACAGGCUUAACACAUGCAAGUCGAGGGGCAUCAGGAAGAAAGCUUGCUUUCUUUGCUGGCGACCGGCGCACGGGUGAGUAACACGUAUCCAACCUGCCCUUUACUCGGGGAUAGCCUUUCGAAAGAAAGAUUAAUACCCGAUAGCAUAAUGAUUCCGCAUGGUUUCAUUAUUAAAGGAUUCCGGUAAAGGAUGGGGAUGCGUUCCAUUAGGUUGUUGGUGAGGUAACGGCUCACCAAGCCUUCGAUGGAUAGGGGUUCUGAGAGGAAGGUCCCCCACAUUGGAACUGAGACACGGUCCAAACUCCUACGGGAGGCAGCAGUGAGGAAUAUUGGUCAAUGGGCGCUAGCCUGAACCAGCCAAGUAGCGUGAAGGAUGAAGGCUCUAUGGGUCGUAAACUUCUUUUAUAUAAGAAUAAAGUGCAGUAUGUAUACUGUUUUGUAUGUAUUAUAUGAAUAAGGAUCGGCUAACUCCGUGCCAGCAGCCGCGGUAAUACGGAGGAUCCGAGCGUUAUCCGGAUUUAUUGGGUUUAAAGGGAGCGUAGGUGGACUGGUAAGUCAGUUGUGAAAGUUUGCGGCUCAACCGUAAAAUUGCAGUUGAUACUGUCAGUCUUGAGUACAGUAGAGGUGGGCGGAAUUCGUGGUGUAGCGGUGAAAUGCUUAGAUAUCACGAAGAACUCCGAUUGCGAAGGCAGCUCACUGGACUGCAACUGACACUGAUGCUCGAAAGUGUGGGUAUCAAACAGGAUUAGAUACCCUGGUAGUCCACACAGUAAACGAUGAAUACUCGCUGUUUGCGAUAUACAGUAAGCGGCCAAGCGAAAGCAUUAAGUAUUCCACCUGGGGAGUACGCCGGCAACGGUGAAACUCAAAGGAAUUGACGGGGGCCCGCACAAGCGGAGGAACAUGUGGUUUAAUUCGAUGAUACGCGAGGAACCUUACCCGGGCUUAAAUUGCAGUGGAAUGAUGUGGAAACAUGUCAGUGAGCAAUCACCGCUGUGAAGGUGCUGCAUGGUUGUCGUCAGCUCGUGCCGUGAGGUGUCGGCUUAAGUGCCAUAACGAGCGCAACCCUUAUCUUCAGUUACUAACAGGUUAUGCUGAGGACUCUGGAGAGACUGCCGUCGUAAGAUGUGAGGAAGGUGGGGAUGACGUCAAAUCAGCACGGCCCUUACGUCCGGGGCUACACACGUGUUACAAUGGGGGGUACAGAAGGCAGCUACCUGGUGACAGGAUGCUAAUCCCAAAAGCCUCUCUCAGUUCGGAUCGAAGUCUGCAACCCGACUUCGUGAAGCUGGAUUCGCUAGUAAUCGCGCAUCAGCCACGGCGCGGUGAAUACGUUCCCGGGCCUUGUACACACCGCCCGUCAAGCCAUGAAAGCCGGGGGUACCUGAAGUACGUAACCGCAAGGAGCGUCCUAGGGUAAAACUGGUGAUUGGGG
rnacentral:rRNA from 1 species